rnacentral:rRNA from 1 species
UACGUAGGGUGCGAGCGUUGCCCGGAUUUAUUGGGCGUAAAGAGCGUGUAGGCGGCCAGGUAGGUCAGCUGUGAAAACUCGAGGCUCAACCUCGAGACGCCGGUUGAAACCAUCUGGCUAGAGUCCGGAAGAGGAGAGUGGAAUUCCUGGUGUAGCGGUGAAAUGCGCAGAUAUCAGGAAGAACACCCGUGGCUAAGGCGGCUCUCUAGUACGGUACUGACGCUGAGACGCGAAAGCGUGGGGAGCGAACAGG